rnacentral:rRNA from 1 species
GACGAACGCUGGCGGCGUGCUUAACACAUGCAAGUCGAACGCUGAAGCUUGGUGCUUGCACUGGGUGGAUGAGUGGCGAACGGGUGAGUAAUAAGUGAGUAACCUGCCCUUGACUCUGGGAUAAGCCUGGGAAACGGGGUCUAAUACUGGAUACGACAUGUCACCGCAGGGUGGUGUGUGGAAAGGGUUUUACUGGUUUUGGAUGGGCUCACGGCCUAUCAGCUUGUUGGUGGGGUAAUGGCUCACCAAGGCGACGACGGGUAGCCGGCCUGAGAGGGUGACCGGCCACACUGGGACUGAGACACGGCCCAGACUCCUACGGGAGGCAGCAGUGGGGAAUAUUGCACAAUGGGCGGAAGCCUGAUGCAGCGACGCCGCGUGAGGGAUGACGGCCUUCGGGUUGUAAACCUCUUUCAGCACGGAAGAAGCGAAAGUGACGGUACGUGCAGAAGAAGCGCCGGCUAACUACGUG